CUUUUUUUUUAAAAUUCUGAUAGUGAUAGUUGAUGAAGCCAAUCCUGCAUGUUCUUUUUGUUCUCUCCCUGCUCUAUUGACUUUGUGGUCCUGCCUUGCUGGUGACAGAUCUGUUCCCAUAGUUCUCCAGAGGGACAGUAGAGUUAGGGACAGAGAGUAGAACGGUAAUGCAUAGGAAAAGCUAGAAGAUGCCUGGUGCUACCACAGGUACGUGAAAGUAUUCAAACAUCCAACAGACGAACCACAGAAACACAUCCUAUCCUUCUGUGUUGAGGAACUGGUAGCUAUGAUAUGAAGAUUGGCUUAAUUGAAGGUCCUAUCCCUCACUGUCUGGAGGAAACUAUCCUGGUAAAGGUCAGGAGGUAGAAAACUCUUAAUCUUACUCUGUGUUUAUGACUUUGCCAUUGUUAUCUACUUCUGUGGAGCAUUUAGAACAUCUAACAAUGUCCCCGGACUCUUUCAGAUUAAUACCUGUUUCCUUACAAGGACUGUCUGCUGCACUUCUGCAUUAACUUCGGUAUAGUUUAUCUGAGUAGCUGCCUUCAGCUGUGCUGCUGAACUCUUUAACCAAGACCUGAAGAUAGGAAGAGUAACAGAGGACUUGCAUUUUCAGAAGUUUUCUCUGGGAGUGAGUUGGUAUAAGGAUACCCCAUCUGUAAGGACCCCCUGUGAGAUACUUUGCUGUAGACAUGCAUACAUCGGAGGGAUGCAGAAUCUGACGUGAGUUCUUGGAAUGGAAGACCAGACAUCAGCGCUGCGCAUGGCAAGGAGGAGCUCACAUUGUCCUGUCUGCAGUGGUUAUCCAGCAGUCUUGCAGAGAAGGAACAGUGCACUCAGCAUCCAAGGGUGGUUCCCACUGUCUUCAAAAGGAGGAGAUCCCCAAACAACCUCUAACUUCUGCUUUACCAAGAGACACGUCUGCCGCAGUGUUCCUCCACUUUGACCCUAGACCAAACUUGGAAAUGCCUUGGUGUAUCCUUCACUGACAAAAACGCAGAGAAGGAGACCAAUUGGCUGUCCCAUCAUAUCUGCUUUCUUGGGAGGUGAGGAAGCAACCAUGGAAGAGAUGAGACCUGGGGGUCUUUGGAAGAUGGCAGCUGUCAUGCACUGGCGUGAUAAAUAUGAUCCCACGUCACUGGCGCGUCCAGAGUCAGCUACCAUAGAUGGUUUGAGUGAAGUCCUGCAGGGUUAUACAAUAAGGUGAGUAUGGAAUUCCCUCCAAAACAUAAUACAGGCUUCCAUAUCUCAGUGACCCUGCUAGUCCAUCUCUUUCUCUCCUCUUUCCAUGGGAUCUAAAUCCAGUUUCACAGCCAUUGUUUUUCCACUAUACCUCCCAAGGACUUUCCUUUUCCAAGAAUAAGAUCUGGUUGUGUCUCAGAACUAAGUUUUGUUCUGUUUUUUGGGUCACAUAGUUCAAUUUUCCUUACACUACUGAGAAGCAUUAAGAUGGCUCUCUUAUUAGUGCCUUUUUUUGCA
rnacentral:lncRNA from 1 species